rnacentral:rRNA from 1 species
GGUUGCGAUCAUACCAGCACUAAUGCACCGGAUCCCAUCAGAACUCCGCAGUUAAGCGUGCUUGGGCGAGAGUAGUACUAGGAUGGGUGACCCCCUGGGAAGUCCUCGUGUUGCCACCCC